rfam:Triticum aestivum genome assembly, contig: Triticum_aestivum_CS42_TGACv1_scaffold_147294_2BS
ACAGUGUUACCUCCGUCCUAAAAAGCUUGUCUUAGAUUUGUCUAAAUAUGGAUGUAUCUAACACUAAAACGUGUCUAGAUACGGAUAUCUAGACAAAUGUAAGACAAGCUUUUUGGGACGGAGACUAUUUA